AGAGUUUGAUUCUGGCUCAGGAUGAACGCUAGCUACAGGCUUAACACAUGCAAGUCGAGGGGCAGCAUUGGAGUAGCAAUACUCAGAUGGCGACCGGCGCACGGGUGAGUAACACGUAUCCAACCUACCGCUUACUCGGGGAUAGCCUUUCGAAAGAAAGAUUAAUACCCGAUGGUAUAAAGAGUUCGCAUGUUCUCUUUAUUAAAGAAUUUCGGUAAGCGAUGGGGAUGCGUUCCAUUAGAUAGUUGGCGGGGUAACGGCCCACCAAGUCUACGAUGGAUAGGGGUUCUGAGAGGAAGGUCCCCCACAUUGGAACUGAGACACGGUCCAAACUCCUACGGGAGGCAGCAGUGAGGAAUAUUGGUCAAUGGACGAGAGUCUGAACCAGCCAAAAGUAGCGUGAAGGAUGACUGCCCUAUGGGUUGUAAACUUCUUUUAUAAGGGAAUAAAGUGAGGGACGUGUCCCUUUUUGUAUGUACCUUAUGAAUAAGGAUCGGCUAACUCCGUGCCAGCCGCCGC
rnacentral:rRNA from 1 species